AUGUUUGCCUCACGCCCAAACGCAUCGUCAUCCUCUGCAUCGCAAGGCCCCAUCAGCCAUCCAUGGCCGCCGCAGUUUGAAGCUGCAGUAUCGUCGAGAAUGACGGGAGCGGCCAUGACGGAAUAUGUCAGUGUGGCUCACAAGGACGACCAUGGUGGCACUGCCGGCGACUUGUACCGCAUAAACCUCGCGGACGAGAAUGGUUGUGCGCACGCCGUGAACUUGCAGCCCCCACGCGUCAUGUCAGGAGGAGCAGUCCGGGAGGAUACGACCACAGCCAUGAGAGGAGAAGGAGGUCAGCAGGACGACGGGGUCGCUGGUGUAGAGCAACAUAUGCAGGCGAUUGAUAAAGUUGGAGAAACGUUGAUUGUUCCAGAAGUUGGAUUGGCUUUCGAUUCAGAGGACAGCGCUUAUGAUAUGUACAACGCAUAUGCCGCCAAGGUUGGGUUCAGUGUCAGAAAAAGUCACACAAAGUGA
rnacentral:rRNA from 1 species